GAUGAACGCUAGCGGCAGGCUUAAUACAUGCAAGUUGAGGGGCAGCAUGAUAUACGCGAGUAUAUUGAUGGCGACCGGCGGACGGGUGAGUAAUAGGUAGGAGACCUACCUCAUACAGGGGGAUAGCAUAGAGAAAUCUGUGGUAAUACCCCAUGAGGUUAUAUGAAUAGAGGCAUAUAAUCAAAGCAUAAGCGAUUAUGCGGUAUGAGAGGGGCCUACUGACCAUUAGCUAGUUGGUGAGGUAAGGGCUCACCAAGGCGAAGAUGGUUAGGGGUUUUGAGAGAGAGACCCCCCACAUUGGAACUGAGAGACGGUCCAGACUCCUACGGGAGGCAGCAGUAGGGAAUAUUGGGCGAAUGGGCGGAAAGACCUGACCCAGCCAUGCCGCGUGAAGGAAGACGGCCUUAUGGGUUGUAAACUUCUUUACUACGCGAAUAGAGGUUAGUACGAGAUACUAAUAGGAAGGUAGUGUAGUAAAAGCACCGGCUAACUCCGUG
rnacentral:rRNA from 1 species